AGUGAACGCUGGCGGUAGGCCUAACACAUGCAAGUCGAACGGCAGCACAGUAAGAGCUUGCUCUUACGGGUGGCGAGUGGCGGACGGGUGAGGAAUACAUCGGAAUCUACUUUUUCGUGGGGGAUAACGUAGGGAAACUUACGCUAAUACCGCAUACGACCUACGGGUGAAAGCAGGGGAUCUUCGUACCUUGCGCGAUUGAAUGAGACGAUGUCGGCUUAGCUAGUUGGCGGGGUAAAGGCCCACCAAGGCGACGAUCCGUAGCUGGUCUGAGAGGAUGAGCAGCCACACUGGAACUGAGACACGGUCCAGACUCCUACGGGAGGCAGCAGUGGGGAAUAUUGGACAAUGGGCGCAAGCCUGAUCCAGCCAUACCGCGUGGGUGAAGAAGGCCUUCGGGUUGUAAAGCCCUUUUGUUGGGAAAGAAAAGCAGCAGGUUAAUACCCCGCUGUUCUGACGGUACCCAAAGAAUAAGCACCGGCUAACUUCGUG
rnacentral:rRNA from 1 species